AGCAUUUGGAGAAUUCCUCUCAUGAGUUCUGAUGGUGUUUCUUCCUUUUGAAUAAAAACUGCCUACUUUAAACCCUGUGUUUUGGAAUCUCCCUCAGCAACAUGGGUCUAGACCUCACUGACCAGGCACUGAUAGCGGAAAGCACAAGUGAUGGUGACCAGCAGCUUCUAAACUCUGUUGAUGCGGUGGCUUGAUCAAGAUAGUCAAACAUCUGAGUUUCUGUCUGCCCCAGCAAGUCACAUGCAGCAUCCAAAGGAAUUGCAGAACAGUUUCAUCCCCGGCGUGGUUCACCCAACAAUUUACUCUGCCUGUGGACACUGUCCCCUGACCCCUACAAGAUUUUCUCCUUUACCGCCCAUCCCCUGAUAUGUCCUCACACAAAUCCACUUUGCAGUGACUUUCAAUAUCAGUUGAACUGGGGGUGGAAAAAAAAGAAAAAAAAGAAUCUUAAAGGAAAAAAAAUCUUCUUUGCACAGGUGCAAUGACCUCCCUUGAUGAAGAAAGGCUCCCCGGGUGCCUACAGCAGAACCCAGUUCUGCACAAUAACGCCGGCUGCAAUGUGAGGCUCCGGAGUAAUGUGAUCUGUUUUCACACAGCCUAGUGUUAGGGUGCUGCUGCCACUCACUCUAAAGGUUACUAUCUCUCUUUUAUUGUAAUUACAAAAGCUAACUGCAAAACCCGAAACCUUGCUGGGAAAUUGCCUGCCUACACAAAGAACACAGAGACCCUAUCGUUUCAGAGUUUAGUUCUUUCCGAGCUUCUUUAUAAAGGAGUUUUUGUCUGCCUCUGAGGCUCCAACCAUGGAGGAGCUGCGGAUCAAGGUUAGCUGAUGGCUUGGAGUGUUUCAAUGGAGAAGGCUCUCUUUGGAGGUUGGCAUAUAGGUGCUUUACAAUUUAGCUUGCAAAAGUUAAGUAAAACUGCAGCUGUGCUACAGUGUAGAUGGUGGGAAGAGCGAAGACAGAGAGAGAGAGAUUCCUACUAAAUGAUGUCUUCUGUUAUUUCAGAUCCCAUCAGCUUUCCUUGAAGGAGGUGUUAUAGUGUAUUCAUUCUCCCACUGUUUGCUUUCAUCACUCUCACACUCAAGGUUUGAAUACAAUAAUCACAAUGCAGAGAGUGUUGGGAGGUAUUUAUUUUUAUCCCAACUGCCAGCAUCAUCACAGUGUGUGUGAUCCAAAUUUACACUCUGCAUAUACACAGCAUGUGGCCCUGCUGCCGAGCCAGCUGCUUUCCCUAAGGCUGAGGCAUGGUUAAGUUUCAAGUUUUGCCUUAUCAAAACUGUGAUAGCAAAAAUGUGUGAGUGAAACCCAUACUCAGGGCAGCUUACUUAGCAAAUAUUGAAACCUGUGAUUUGUUGUUCAUUGGAAGUCAAGAAAGAAGACUGUGUGUGUGUGUGUGUGUGUGUGUGUGUGUGUGUAUGCUAGUUAUUGCAGACGGGGCAAAUUCUCUAAACCAACACCCAUUCUCCCUGCUCUCCUUACCAACAGAAGCUUGAUUUCUCAGGCCAGCAACGUGCUCAGUUCAAAGAUAGCUUUUCCUUUGAGAUAGGGUGUGGCUGUGUGGCCCUGCUCCGGCAGACUAGAUUUAUUUUGUGGGACUUCCAGGAAGGCUUCUUAAAAGGGAGGGAGGAGACUUUUGUCCCAAAUCCUUUCCUUUUCCUCCUGGCUGGAAAGCUGAUAGGAAGCUAAUGCCCUCAUCAGCCAUCCUGGACUCUGAGGUGGAUUCAAAGAUAGGCUAUGUGUGUCAGUGUCUGGAGCAGAAAGACAGAAGGUCUUAGUCCUUGGAGACUCUGCUGCGCCACUGCACAGCCCUGACCUGCCUACCUUAAAAUGCAUUUUUAUGUGAGAGAAAAUACCUUUGCAUGUUUGAGCCACUAUUUUGGGGUCCUCUGUAGCCAAAUGCAAUUUCUAACUGAUAGAUCAACUUGAGGUUUAACACUAACUGAGGCCAGAUUCUAUGGGUUAAUUUGCACAGAGUACAGAGAACAAUGCUGGCACUGAGUGCAUAAAGACUAGCUGUUAAUACCUGCUUGGGGAAUUGUUACAUUUACUAAUCAUCUCUGAGUUUACACUUUAAUGCAGAAAUAUCCAUUGUGAUUGGCUUUAUGCUAUGAUUAAAAGGUCUCUAUAAAAAUGUAGACUGAACUUGGUUGUCCUAUUCAGCAUUCGAUCCAUGAAAUUUGAGGGUGUAUUAGUUUGUUUCUUU
rnacentral:lncRNA from 1 species